AGGAGCCGGAUGAGUCGAGAGAUUCACGUCCGGUUCUGUGAGCGCCUGGAGGGGCAGUUCCUCCGGGCGACUCGAC
rnacentral:ncRNA from 1 species